rnacentral:rRNA from 1 species
UGGGGAAUAUUGGACAAUGGGCGAAAGCCUGAUCCAGCCAUGCCGCGUGUGUGAAGAAGGUCUUUGGAUUGUAAAGCACUUUAAGUUGGGAGGAAGGGCAGUAAGCGAAUACCUUGCUGUUUUGACGUUACCGACAGAAUAAGCACCGGCUAACUCUGUGCCAGCAGCCGCGGUAAUACAGAGGGUGCAAGCGUUAAUCGGAAUUACUGGGCGUAAAGCGCGCGUAGGUGGUUCGUUAAGUUGAAUGUGAAAGCCCCGGGCUCAACCUGGGAACUGCAUCCAAAACUGGCGAGCUAGAGUAGGGCAGAGGGUGGUGGAAUUUCCUGUGUAGCGGUGAAAUGCGUAGAUAUAGGAAGGAACACCAGUGGCGAAGGCGACCACCUGGGCUCAUACUGACACUGAGGUGCGAAAGCGUGGGGAGCAAACAGG